UACGUAGGGACCAAGCGUUGUUCGGAUUUACUGGGCGUAAAGGGCGCGUAGGCGGCGCGGUAAGUCACUUGUGAAAUCUCUGAGCUUAACUCAGAACGGCCAAGUGAUACUGCAGUGCUAGAGUGUGGAAGGGGCAAUCGGAAUUCUUGGUGUAGCGGUGAAAUGCGUAGAUAUCAGGAGGAACACCGGUGGCGAAGGCGGGUCUCGUGGGCCGAUACUGACGCUGAGGAGCGAAAGCGUGGGGAGCGAACAGG
rnacentral:rRNA from 1 species